UUGGGAAGGAGGCACGUAGAUUUCUGAAGGCUGUAAGUCAAGGGCACAGGACAUUUUCCAGACACCAGAACACAAAAGGAUGUAAAGGUUAAAGCAGUGUCAUAGAAAUGACAAAGACCUUGCUACCUAUGAUGACAUGAAAAUAAAAUGCAGAAAAAUCCUGCUGGAACCUGGGAUCAGGACGUCCUCAGGGGAAGGAAGGAGGAGUAAGGAAAGGUUUCUAGAAUGUGUGGUUCAGCAGCAGUGGCAAGGUAAGGUCUAG